UACAGGGGGUGCAAACGUUGCUCGGAAUCAUUGGGCGUAAAGGGCGCGUAGGCGGUUUGCUAAGUUGGAUGUGAAAACUCUGGGCUUAACCCAGAGCCUGCAUCCAAAACUGGCAAACUUGAGUACUGGAGGGGAAAGCGGAAUUCCUGGUGUAGCGGUGAAAUGCGUAGAUAUCAGGAGGAACACCGGUGGCGAAGGCGGCUUUCUGGACAGUAACUGACGCUGAGGCGCGAAAGCUAGGGGAGCAAACAGG
rnacentral:rRNA from 1 species